CCUACGGGGGGCAGCAGUGAGGAAUAUUGGGCAAUGGGCGCAAGCCUGACCCAGCAACGCCGCGUGAAGGAAGAAGGCUUUCGGGUUGUAAACUUCUUUUCUCAGGGACGAAGCAAGUGACGGUACCUGAGGAAUAAGCCACGGCUAACUACGUGCCAGCAGCCGCGGUAAUACGUAGGUGGCAAGCGUUAUCCGGAUUUACUGGGUGUAAAGGGCGUGUAGGCGGGAAAGCAAGUCAGAUGUGAAAACCAUGGGCUCAACCUGUGGCCUACAUUUGAAACUGUUUUUCUUGAGUACUGGAGAGGCAGACGGAAUUCCUAGUGUAGCGGUGAAAUGCGUAGAUAUUAGGAGGAACACCAGUGGCGAAGGCGGUCUGCUGGACUGUAACUGACGCUGAGGCACGAAAGUGUGGGGAGCAAACAGGAUUAGAUACCCGAGUAGUC
rnacentral:rRNA from 1 species